AACUUCUUAAAAGUGUUUUGAAAACACGAGAAAGAUAUAAUAUCUAGAAGUUU
rnacentral:tRNA from 1 species